ACCCCGGUUGGACUUAAGCAUAUCAAUAAGCGGAGGCAAUUUAGGUAAUAACAAUGAUUUCCCUAGUAACGGCGAGUGAAGAGGAAAGAGCUCAAAGUUGGAAACUGUUUGGCUUAGCUAAACCGUAUUGUAAACUGUAGAAACAUUUUCCUGGCACACCAGAUUAAUAAGUCCUUUGGAACAAGGCAUCAUGGAGGGUGAGAAUCCCGUCUUUGAUCUGAGUAGUUGUCUUUUGUGAUAUGUUUUCAAAGAGUCAGGUUGUUUGGGAAUGCAGCCUAAAUUGGGUGGUAAAUCUCACCUAAAGCUAAAUAUUGCGAGAGACCGAUAGCGAACAAGUACCGUGAGGGAAAGAUGAAAAGAACUUUGAAAAGAGAGUUAAACAGUAUGUGAAAUUGUUAAAAGGGAACCGUUUGGAGCCAGACUGGUUUGCUUGUAAUCAACCUAGAAUUCGUUUUGGGUGCACUUGCAGGCUAUACCUGCCAACAACAGUUUGAUUUGGAGGAAAAAAUUAAUAGGAAUGUAGCCUCUCGAGGUGUUAUAGCCUAUUAUCAUACUUUGGAUUGGACUGAGGAACGCAGCGAAUGGCUUUAGGGAAGAUUGCUGGGUGGUUUCGCUAAUAAAUGUUAGAAUUUCUGCUUCGGGUGGUGCUAAUGUUUAAAGGAGGAACACAUCUCGUAUAUUUUUAUCGCUUAGGUGUUGGGUAUGGCCUUACAACCCCUG
rnacentral:rRNA from 1 species